rnacentral:piRNA from 2 species
CACCCACUGUGUGUCCGCACUGUGCUC